rnacentral:rRNA from 1 species
GGAUUAGAUACCCUGGUAGUCCACGCUGUAAACGAUGGUCACUAGUUGGCGGUAUUUCGGUAUCGUUGACCAAGCGAAAGUGAUAAGUGACCCACCUGGGGAGUACGUUCGCAAGGAUGAAACUCAAAGGAAUUGACGGGGGCCCGCACAAGCGGUGGAGCAUGUGGUUUAAUUUGAUGAUACGCGGGGAACCUUACCAAGGCUUAAAUGCACAGCGAAUAUAGUGGAAACAUUAUAGUCUUCGGACGAUGUGCAAGGUGCUGCAUGGUUGUCGUCAGCUCGUGCCG